rnacentral:tRNA from 1 species
UGCGCCGUGUGGCGUGUGGCGGUGCCGUGCGGCUUGUGCCCGUGCCGUGUUGGCAAGCGCUUUCACUUGCGGUGUUCGAGGUCCGGACCGCGAGG